rnacentral:lncRNA from 1 species
AUUUAAUAUUUAGAAAAUAAAAAUUAUACCCCUGUGGGUUUUUCUUUAUAGUUUUAUGAUUGUGGCUUAAUCUUGUUUAUGUGCAUUUACUGAUUAUGUUUUUCUUCUUCAGGCACUAAGGAACUCAGAGCCUUGGGCAAAGAUGGAAAGAAAAAAUGCUUUAUAUGAAAUGCAUAUGUAAAUCUGGGAAACAACUUGUGUUGAGAAGACAAUAA